CCCGAGCAGUUGGAGCGCGCAGGGCGCCGAUGGGGAGUACGGAGCGAGGAACUUAGGACAGAAAAAGGUCGUAGAGAGGACCUCUUGUCCUAAGGACUGACUCGUCGUCAUUUCUUGCAUCCCUUCUUGAACUGUGGUCCUGCAUCCCCCCCUUUCCUUUCAGCAGAUGGUUGCGUCCAUCCCGUCGCUUUCCUUUGCCCGCAUUCCAGAGCUGGGAGAGAGGCGGGGACCCCGGGGCCCGAUUUCCAUGUAGGGAAGUUGCGGAGCGAGAAGCCGCGGGCCUCCGGUGACUGGCAUUGGCUCCGCCCCCGAGCGCCGGGCGUCCCCCGUCCGGCUGGAGUGCGCCUGUGCAGGAAGUCGGUGUGAAUCAGCGUCUAGGUCAGCGCCGCGGGGUCCGCUCGGCGCGGGAGGGCGUGUUCGAGCUGCCUGAAAAGUUACGAAGUGGCCUUUUAAGGAGUACCUCGCUCUUUCCACGUGGGAGGAAGCAGUGAACUUUGAGGGCCCCAGGGCCUCCCUGGUUCGGUUUAGAGUUCGUGAAUUCGGUAUCCCAUUGCUCCCUCUCCCAGGAACGUUCCCAGGAACUUCCUACCAGAGUCAGUCCCCCUUUUACCCUGAUGGUGACUCCUGCUCCACCCAUCGCUCCAGGGUGACCUGGUGAAAUGGGACUAAAGUGCUGGACCCAUUUACCCCCCAGGUCUCCUUGCUGAGUCAGCUGCCAACAAUUGUUAAAGGAAAAAGCCUCCUUGAUCCCUUCGGCCCUGCCCGGAAUCAGGCGAAGGCUGUAUAUUGUUGGUGGUCACCUCGAGAUCACGAUCCUGGUGAGACCAGAGCAGUUCUAAGAGUUCCAGCUUCAUCUGCAAAGCUCUGUCCCUGGACUCACGAAAACGAAGGCGCUUGUUCUGAAUGAUGCGUGUUAAAUGUCCCUAAAACCAGCUGUUUUUCUUCAUGGAACUCGCGUGAUAUGGCUUAAAGUUAACCCAAAGAACUAUGGAUAUAUCAAGUCAAUGUGGAAAAAUUAAUUGAAGUCUUACGACUCUAUCUAACGUCCUGAUAUGAAAUUUUAAUGAUUAGGCCCACUACCGAAGGCCUCUGAUGCUGUUUGAUGUCCCUGUUCUUUUGGAACUUAGAAGAGCUCUUCCUAAAGCAGCAGGUGAGAACCUUCUUCUCACUACAAGUUUGACAAUCUGUGUUCUGCUCCACAUCUUUCCUUCACGCAGCUGCUGCCUACCUCUGAGAGCAAGUCGCUCGGUUGACCUCAUUUUUCUAAUAUCUCUCCAGUCUGCCUUACGGGGCUUUCUGAUUAAAUGAAGUCAUUUAUAAUUUUA